UACGGAGGGAGCAAGCGUUACUCGGAAUUAUUGGGCGUAAAGGGCGCGUAGGCGAUUUGACAAGUCUUGUGUGAAAGCCCCGAGCUUAACUCGGGAAGUGCACAAGUAACUGUUGAAUUUGAGUUCCGGAGAGGAAGGCAGAAUUCCCGGUGUAGCGGUGAAAUGCGUAGAUAUCGGGAGGAAUACCAGUGGCGAAGGCGGCCUUCUGGACGGAUACUGACGCUGAGGCGCGAAAGCCAGGGGAGCAAACGGG
rnacentral:rRNA from 1 species